rnacentral:rRNA from 4 species
UUAAAUUGAAGAGUUUGAUCAUGGCUCAGAUUGAACGCUGGCGGCAGGCCUAACACAUGCAAGUCGAACGGUAACAGGAAGCAGCUUGCUGCUUCGCUGACGAGUGGCGGACGGGUGAGUAAUGUCUGGGAAACUGCCUGAUGGAGGGGGAUAACUACUGGAAACGGUAGCUAAUACCGCAUAAUGUCGCAAGACCAAAGAGGGGGACCUUCGGGCCUCUUGCCAUCGGAUGUGCCCAGAUGGGAUUAGCUUGUUGGUGGGGUAACGGCUCACCAAGGCGACGAUCCCUAGCUGGUCUGAGAGGAUGACCAGCCACACUGGAACUGAGACACGGUCCAGACUCCUACGGGAGGCAGCAGUGGGGAAUAUUGCACAAUGGGCGCAAGCCUGAUGCAGCCAUGCCGCGUGUAUGAAGAAGGCCUUCGGGUUGUAAAGUACUUUCAGCGGGGAGGAAGGGAGUAAAGUUAAUACCUUUGCUCAUUGACGUUAUCCGCAGAAGAAGCACCGGCUAACUCCGUGCCAGCAGCCGCGGUAAUACGGAGGGUGCAAGCGUUAAUCGGAAUUACUGGGCGUAAAGCGCACGCAGGCGGUUUGUUAAGUCAGAUGUGAAAUCCCCGGGCUCAACCUGGGAACUGCAUCUGAUACUGGCAAGCUUGAGUCUCGUAGAGGGGGGUAGAAUUCCAGGUGUAGCGGUGAAAUGCGUAGAGAUCUGGAGGAAUACCGGUGGCGAAGGCGGCCCCCUGGACGAAGACUGACGCUCAGGUGCGAAAGCGUGGGGAGCAAACAGGAUUAGAUACCCUGGUAGUCCACGCCGUAAACGAUGUCGACUUGGAGGUUGUGCCCUUGAGGCGUGGCUUCCGGAGCUAACGCGUUAAGUCGACCGCCUGGGGAGUACGGCCGCAAGGUUAAAACUCAAAUGAAUUGACGGGGGCCCGCACAAGCGGUGGAGCAUGUGGUUUAAUUCGAUGCAACGCGAAGAACCUUACCUGGUCUUGACAUCCACGGAAGUUUUCAGAGAUGAGAAUGUGCCUUCGGGAACCGUGAGACAGGUGCUGCAUGGCUGUCGUCAGCUCGUGUUGUGAAAUGUUGGGUUAAGUCCCGCAACGAGCGCAACCCUUAUCCUUUGUUGCCAGCGGUCCGGCCGGGAACUCAAAGGAGACUGCCAGUGAUAAACUGGAGGAAGGUGGGGAUGACGUCAAGUCAUCAUGGCCCUUACGACCAGGGCUACACACGUGCUACAAUGGCGCAUACAAAGAGAAGCGACCUCGCGAGAGCAAGCGGACCUCAUAAAGUGCGUCGUAGUCCGGAUUGGAGUCUGCAACUCGACUCCAUGAAGUCGGAAUCGCUAGUAAUCGUGGAUCAGAAUGCCACGGUGAAUACGUUCCCGGGCCUUGUACACACCGCCCGUCACACCAUGGGAGUGGGUUGCAAAAGAAGUAGGUAGCUUAACCUUCGGGAGGGCGCUUACCACUUUGUGAUUCAUGACUGGGGUGAAGUCGUAACAAGGUAACCGUAGGGGAACCUGCGGUUGGAUCACCUCCUUACCUUAAAGAAGC